rnacentral:rRNA from 1 species
UACGAAGGGGGCUAGCGUUGUUCGGAAUCACUGGGCGUAAAGGGCGCGUAGGCGGCCGAUCAAGUCGGGGGUGAAAGCCCAGGGCUCAACCCUGGAAUUGCCUUCGAUACUGGAGAUCUUGAGACCGGAGGUAAGUGGAACUGCGAGUGUAGAGGUGGAAUUCGUAGAUAUUCGCAAGAACACCAGUGGCGAAGGCGGAUUACUGGUCCGGUUCUGACGCUGAGGCGCGAAAGCGUGGGGAGCAAACAGG